rnacentral:rRNA from 1 species
UCUGGGCUACACACGUGCUACAAUGGCCGGUACAGACGGACGCAAAGCCGCGAGGUGGAGCAAAUCCUAAAAAGACCGGUCUCAGUUCGGAUUGCAGGCUGCAGUUCGCCUGCAUGAAGUCGGAAUCGCUAGUAAUCGCAGGUCAGCAUACUGCGGUGAAUACGUUCCCGGGCCUU